GGCACUAUAGCUCAGUGGUUAGAGCUUAUCUCAGUACAAAUGGGAAGGUCACAGGUUCGACUCCUGUUAGAGCCA